GCGAGAUGCCGGAACUCACGUGGUACGUUCAGGUCGGGUCCCGGCUUCGCGCGAGCCAACGAGGUCCACGAUGACAGGCUUGCUACUCUCCGGUCGUCGUUAGGCAUGCGCGACAGACAUUCGUAUCAACUAAGAACACAAAUUGAAGGCUUACGAUUUCUCACUGGUUUGCGUUCUUGCCGAGGCUUGGGCUGCCUGCGGACUGGCCUCCUUCGUUCCGCUUCUCCCCACUCCCAAAGUUUAAGGGCGGCGUCAGCUUACUGUUGGCAGGUCCCUGGGCAAACAGUGUGUGAGAUGGGACGGACGUCAAAGGACAAGCGGGAUGUCUACUACCGCCUAGCCAAGGAGAAUGGCUGGCGUGCCCGCAGUGCCUUCAAGCUGCUACAACUUGACGAGGAAUUCCAACUCUUCCAAGGCGUGACUCGGGCAGUUGACCUGUGCGCGGCCCCAGGCAGCUGGAGCCAGGUGCUGAGCCAGAAGAUUGGGGGCCAGGGGUCAGGCCAUGUGGUGGCUGUGGACCUUCAGGCUAUGGCUCCACUACCAGGUGUGUUACAGAUCCAGGGGGAUAUCACCCAGCUGUCCACUGCCAAGGAGAUCAUCCAGCACUUUGAGGGCUGCCCCGCGGACCUAGUGGUGUGCGACGGGGCUCCUGAUGUAACCGGCCUCCAUGAUGUUGAUGAGUAUAUGCAGGCCCAGCUCCUCCUAGCCGCUCUGAACAUUGCUACACACGUCUUGAAGCCAGGGGGCUGCUUUGUGGCCAAGAUCUUCCGAGGCCGGGACGUGACACUCAUCUACAGCCAGCUGCGUGUCUUCUUCUCUAGCGUGCUCUGUGCCAAGCCUAGGAGCAGCCGGAACUCCAGCAUUGAGGCCUUUGCUGUCUGUAAGGGUUAUGACCCCCCUGAGGGCUUCCUGCCGGACCUGACCAAACCCCUGCUGGACCACUCUUACGAUCCAGAUUUCAACCAAUUAGAUGGUCCCACCCGCAUCAUUGUGCCAUUUGUGACCUGCGGGGACCUGAGCGCUUAUGACUCGGACCGCAGUUACCCACUGGAUCUAGAGGACGGCUCAGAAUACAAGUACACUCCGCCCACGCAGCCCCCCAUCUCACCACCAUACCAGGAGGCCUGCACGUUGAAGAAGAAGGGGCAGCUGGCCAAGGAGAUCCGCCCCCAGGACUGCCCUAUCAGCACGGGGGACACGUUGCCCCAGUCCCUGGCCGCCCCACAGCACCACACCCUGGUGGCCUCUGAGGUCUGGAAACAUGGGCCCACAGCCCUCAAUGCCCUUUCUCUGUGCCCAGAGUGACCCCCCCUCCUCAUGUGCCUCUUUCUGCCCCAAAUCACAUGGUUUCUGGGACAAACUUCUCUUCCCUGCUUCCCAAUAGCUAUAAGAAUCAAUAGGUAAAACCAGGUAUAGUGAACGGAAAAGCUUAGCCAAUUACCUCAGUCCCUUUUUUUUUCCCUUGGGUAGGUGGAAGACAAUGAAAUGAACUGUUCAGCUUAACAUGUUAAGUUAGCUGGCAAUCUGAUAAGGACUCGGAAGCUGUUUGCUGUCAGGAAAACCAGAACUUGAGUUGAUGAACUUGUUUUGAAAUAUCUCAUCAACCAGUCCUGAACAUACAAGCUCUGAGUGGGAACCUGCAGCAACCACCACGAACACAGCAAGGAAAGAAACAUCACAGAGUGUUCAUCUGCACUGCAGAGGGGAUUCUUGAGUGGGGUCUUGCCUCUUCUCUAAGUCUUUCCAGCGGUGUCCUGAUUAUGUCCAGAAUUUACCCUGAAAGCAGGGGUUCUUAACCUGGGUAGAAGUCAGGGGCAUCUGUGAACUUGAUGGAAGGACAUGGUACAUCUUUAUUUUCACUAAUGUAACUGAAAUUUUAGCUUUACUCCCAAAUCUGAAUGCCGGCAGCAGAUCACAAUAGUAAAAGCAGUGUCUGCAACUUCCACCAAUACAGAUCACAGUUACUUUUUUAUGUUAUGUUACAAUUGUUGCUGGCAUCUUAGAAUAUUGUUCACAUUGGUCACUACUUUGAAUAAGAUCUUUUAAUUUGAUGUACUAAUAAACAAUGUUCAUACAUUA